rnacentral:rRNA from 1 species
AAUGAACGCUGGCGGCAGGCCUAACACAUGCAAGUCGAGCGAGCAUUUCGGUGCUAGCGGCGGACGGGUGAGUAACGCGUGGGAACGUGCCCUUUUCUGCGGAAUAGUCCUGGGAAACUGGGGGUAAUACCGCAUACGCCCUUUUGGGGAAAGAUUUAUCGGAGAAGGAUCGGCCCGCGUUGGAUUAGGUAGUUGGUGGGGAAUGGCCCACCAAGCCGACGAUCCAUAGCUGGUUUGAGAGGAUGAUCAGCCACACUGGGACUGAGACACGGCCCAGACUCCUACGGGAGGCAGCAGUGGGGAAUCUUAGACAAUGGGGGCAACCCUGAUCUAGCCAUGCCGCGUGAGUGAUGAAGGCCUUAGGGUUGUAAAGCUCUUUCAGCUGGGAAGAUAAUGACGGUACCAGCAGAAGAAGCCCCGGCUAACUCCGUG